rnacentral:rRNA from 1 species
AGUCGAGCGAGAAAGUUCCUUCGGGAAUGAGUAGAGCGGCGAACGGGUGAGUAAUGCAUAAGAAUCUGCCUUUUAGUGAAGGAUACCUCUGGGAAACUGGAGUUAAUACUGCAUACGUCCCUUCGGGGAGAAAGAUGGCCUCUUGCUGUCGCUAAAAGAUGAGCUUAUGUUCUAUUAGUUUGUUGGUGGGGUAAAGGCCUACCAAGACGAUGAUGGAUAGCCGGCCUGAGAGGGUGAACGGCCACAUUGGAACUUAGACACGGUCCAGACUCCUACGGGAGGCAGCAGUGAGGAAUAUUGCACAAUGGGCGAAAGCCUGAUGCAGCGACGCCGCGUGGAGGAUGACGGUUUUCGGAUUGUAAACUCCUGUUAAGUGGGAAGAAAGUAGCUUCUUUAAUAGAGAAGCGAGAUGACGGUACCACUAGAGAAAGCACCGGCUAACUUCGUGCCAGCAGCCGCGGUAA